CGUAGGGUGCGAGCGUUAAUCGGAAUUACUGGGCGUAAAAGCGUGCGCAGGCGGUGCACCAAGCUCGAUGUGAAAGCCCCCGGGCUUAACCUGGGAAUUGCAUUGAGGACUGGUGUACUCGAGUGCGGCAGAGGGGGGUGGAAUUCCACGUGUAGCAGUGAAAUGCGUAGAGAUGUGGAGGAACACCGAUGGCGAAGGCAGCCCCCUGGGCCGACACUGACGCUCAUGCACGAAAGCGUGGGGAGCAAACAGGAUUAGAUACCCUGGUAGUCCACGCCCUAAACGAUGUCAACUGGUUGUUGGGGAAGGAAACUUCCUUAGUAACGAAGCUAACGCGUGAAGUUGACCGCCUGGGGAGUACGGCCGCAAGGUUA
rnacentral:rRNA from 1 species